rnacentral:piRNA from 1 species
UAACCUCAGUUCUUAUUCCAUGGUGCUGA